rfam:Ictidomys tridecemlineatus contig092224, whole genome shotgun sequence.
UGGGAUGUAGCUUAGUGGUAAAGCACUUGCCUAUCAGCUAAGGCCCUGGGUUUAAUCCCCAGUACCUCAA